AGAGGGUGCAAGCGUUAAUCGGAAUUACUGGGCGUAAAGCGCAUGUAGGUGGGCAUUUAAGUCGAUUGUGAAAUCCCCGGGCUCAACCUGGGAAUUGCAGUCGAUACUGAAUGUCUAGAGUAUGGGAGAGGAGAGUGGAAUUUCCGGUGUAGCGGUGAAAUGCGUAGAUAUCGGAAGGAACACCAGUGGCGAAGGCGCCUCUCUGGCCUAAUACUGACACUAAAGUGCGAAAGCGUGGGGAGCAAACAGGAUUAGAUACCCUGGUAGUCCACGCCGUAAACGAUGAGAACUGGGCGCCGGGAGGCUUUGUCCUCUAGGUGCCGAAGCUAACGCGUUAAGUUCUCCGCCUGGGAAGUACGGCCGCAAGGUUA
rnacentral:rRNA from 1 species